CCUACGGGUGGCAGCAGUAGGGAAUAUUGCGCAAUGGGGGAAACCCGGACGCAGCAACGCCGCGUGAUAGAUGAAGACCUUCGGGGUGUAAAGAUCUGUCAGUGGGGACGAAACCUGACGGUACCCACAGAGGAAGCACCGGCUAACUCCGUGCCAGCAGCCGCCGUAAUACGGGGGGUGCAAGCGUUGUCCGGAAUCAUUGGGCGUAAAGGGUUCGUAGGUGGCUCUUUAAGUCUGGUGUGAAAUGCGGAAGCCCAACUUCCGUAGGGCACUGGAUACUGGCGAGCUUGAAUGCGGUAGAGGUAAAGGGAAUUCCUGGUGUAGCGGUGAAAUGCGUAGAUAUCAGGAGGAACAUCGGGGGCGUAAGCGCUUUACUGGGCCGUAAUUGACACUGAGGAACGAAAGCCGGGGUAGCAAAUGGGAUUAGAUACCCCUGUAGUC
rnacentral:rRNA from 1 species